rnacentral:lncRNA from 1 species
GCCGGGCCGGGGGCGGGCGGAGCGCGGAGGCGGCGAGGGAAGCAGGGGAGAGGGUGGGAGAGCGAGGGGCGGCUGCGGGCCGGGAGCCCUGAGCCGGACUGAGGCUGGGGGGCUGGAGCUGGGGGCCGGGAGCUGGGAGCCGAGGCUGGGGACCGGGAGCUGGGGGCCGGGAGUUGGGGCUGGGGGCUGAGGCUGGGAGCUGGGGCUGGGGGCUGAGGCUGGCGGCUGGGAGUUGGGGCUGGGGGCUGAGGCUGGGGGCUGGGAGUUGGGGCUGGGGGCUGAGGCUGGGGGCUGGGAGCUGGGGGCUGGGGGGGCUGAGGCUGGGGGCUGGGAGCUGGGGGCUGGAGGCUGAGGCUGGGCGGGGGCAGGGGCAGGGGCUGUUGCUGACGGUCCGGGGAGGGGUCUGGGGCUCCCCGUGUCUCCCGCAGCCUCCGGGCAAGCGCCGGAGGGCGAAAGCAGCGUGUGGUCGGAGGCGGAGCGGUGCGGGCCGGUGUGCGGGGGGCCGGGGCGCGGGGGCCCGGCGCUCGGCUCCUCCGGCUUCGCCCCCUGGCCGGACCCCUGAGCCCGCACCCCGCACCCCGCACCCCGCACCCCGCACCCCGCACGGAACUCCAGCCGUCCGCUGGGCGGCUCUUUGGCCGGGUCCGGCCGCAGGCUGGCGGGGACAGCGGCCGGCGGACAGCGGCCAGAAGGCGGCCGGUCCCGGGACGUCUGCUGCUGUCACUAAGGGCCACCCCAAACCCUCAAGGAUUGGCACCUGAUUUCCUGCAAGACCCUGCCAGGAGCUCAGAGGCUCUCAGCCAACCCGACUGACAGUCAGAUAGACAGGCAACCUCAAGCCCACGGGACAAUGAAGCAGAAACUGGAGAGAUAAACAUCAACAUGAUUGGAUUGCCUAGGGAGGAAGCACCCGGUGGGUAAAGCAUGGCUUGGACUGGUGUGUGCGUCAAAGCCUGGCCCAACUCCAGCCUCUGCCAACUGGCGAACCAGUGGUGGAUUAUCCCAGUUCCUCAGCGGCUCGACAUUCCCCUGGCUCGCUGCCGUUGACCAUUUCUCGGCUCUCUGAUCCCUUAGCCCCGCGAGUGGGCUGGGGAAAUAAAAUGAAGUGAUCUCCAAGAACUUCAUUAGCUCCAUACUGGUAGCUGCAGGGAAAAACUACAGUGAAGGUUGUUGGUUCAAAAAAAAACAAAAACUGUCUAAAUUAUCUGUGGACUCUGAAUCCCUCCACGCUGCCUUUCACCCAGAGCCCAGGCAGGUUUGAAGAUGGUUUUGGGCUCCCUGAGGAUGGUUGUGCUUACCCCAGGCGCCCCCCGUUCUAGGGAGGGACACGAUGGGGUAGGGAUCUGGGUGUGACAGAGGAAGGAGUGAUUGCCUUAUGGGUUCCCAGCUGACACCAGGUUCCCCCUCUCCCUCCUUUCCUCUCUCCUGCCCCUCUGGCAAUCUCUCUCCCUCCACUCCUUACAGCACGCACUCCUCUAAUAGACCUGCCUAAUCACUUGUUUAAACUAGACAUUUGCUGGGUAAUGAGUCCUGGCUGCAAGCAGAAAGUCAUCCUCCACUGCCUGACCCCGGCUGAGGACGGCCAGUCCCCUGCGGCGGAGCCAAGACCCAGGCGGGGGUGGAGUGAGAGGGAGGGGACCGCUGGGGUGUCCAGGGAAAUGGACCAGGGAACAGACUUGGCCCCAGGCCUAGGACAGGGUGCAGUAUGACACACAGGGGAGAAGGCAGGGGGGCGGGGAGUCCCCUUGGGGCAGGCCAUUGAAGAAUCCCGAUUUCAUCAGGGAUAAUGGAGCCCUGGGCUGGGAGGCAGGAAGCUUGGGUUUUAUUCCCAGCUCUGGCACCAACAUGCGACGUGAACUUGGAUUUGCAUUUCUCCUGGGAGUCGGGGUCCCCAACCGGGAGCUCAGGAUGGAAUCAAAUCCUUUCCCCUCCUCAGAGAGGAAAGCACAUCCACCUGAUCUGCACAGAGCUAUGCGGGCCUAGGAGAGAGCCUCUGGAGGAAGAUUAGCUUCUGCUGUAUUUAUUAGUAGUAUUUUUAUCAUCGUUACAAGGGGACAAUCUCCCCUGGGGUAAUUCUUGAGGUACGUGAUGGUGAAAAUGAGCUGGCAUCACCUGGCCAGGUGCCACAUCUCGGACUCCAGGUCACCUCAUUCGUUCAUUCAAUCGUAUUUAUUCAGCCCUUGCUGUGUGCAAAGCACUGUACUAAGCGCUCGGGAGAGCACAAUACAGCAAUUCACAAACAGAUUCCCUGCCCACAGUGAGCUUAACUUCUGGGCUUUUCUCACUCCUCCGGCGGGGUGGUGGUAGGGGGCCCAGCUCAAGGAAUCUCCCUGCUGGGUGAUGACCUUACUGGUGUGGUGCCUUGGUGUUGAGGGUAAGGGGCCUGGGGGCACUGGGAUGCUUCUUUGGCCAUGGUCAGGCUGGGCACUGGAUGCCACUGUCCCAGAGGGUUUGGUGCAGGUUCCCAGCUCCUUUGGGCCUGGAGAUUGGGGAGAGGUGAGAGAAGUAGCUAGGUAGCCCACACUCGAUUGGCUCUCCUGUCUUCCCAAGUUCUUUAGGGCUUUGAGGGGGAACUUGCGAGAUUCCUACCCCUAUUCCCUUCUCCACCCUCAACCCUCACCAUCUCCUCGCAACCUCUCGGUCACAGCUUCGGUUCAGCCCUUGAUCAGCCCCUUCCUCUCCUGUUCCUCUUCUGUGCCCAGCACUGCCCUCCCCCGUCCCCCUCCGCCUCUAUAAGAGAAAUGCUGCCGGGGAUGGGAAACUGGGCUGUUGCCACGGCUACCGCAACCAAGAGUGAGACUCCGGGCAGGGGAGAGGCGGGGGAGAGGCAGAGCGGGAGGGCUGCAGCAAAAGCCGGGGGCCGCUGGGGGCUGCAGGGGCGGAGAGAUGGAGGUAGAAACAGGCACAGACCAAAUGAC